rnacentral:rRNA from 1 species
AGUGAACGCUGGCGGCAGGCCUAAUACAUGCAAGUCGAGCGGACGGAUGGUGAGCGUUCGCCUCUGACGGUGGCGACGGGCGGGUGGGUAACACGUAGAUAGCCUUCCUAUUUGUCGGGGGUGACUUCGUGGGGCAGGUUACACUACCGGAGCAUAUGUUGUACCGGUGGGAGCAGUGGUGAUAGGCGGUUUGGGUGACACUAUGAGAUGAUGCCGCGCCGCAUUAGCUAGUUGGUAAGGUAACGGCUUACCAAGGCAACGAUGCGUAGCCGACCUGAGAGGGUGAUCGGCCACACUGGAACUGAGACACGGUCCAGACUCCUACGGGAGGCAGCAGUAGGGAAUCUUCCGCAAUGGGCGAAAGCCUGACGGAGCAACGCCGCGUGAGUGAUGAAGGUCUUCGGAUCGUAAAACUCUGUUAUUAGGGAAGAACAAAUGUGUAAGUAACUAUGCACGUCUUGACGGUACCUAAUCAGAAAGCCACGGCUAACUACGUG